GUAUGGUCAGGCGGGAUCAUCUGCCAGCUGGAGGUCUCAGGACUGUGGAAAACCAUGUAUUCUAGCAGUAUAUUCUCUGGCCCAGCCGACCAUUACUAUCUUCAUAACGCUUAUGAAACUGUGCCUUCUCUAAGGCCAUUCACAGCUCUCGACUGGGCUAUCCUUCUUUGCCCUCUGUGCAUAAUUUCAUGCUUAUUUGAUCUCCCCAACCUCUGCACUGACCUGGCUUCUUGUGUUAUAUCCUAAACAACUUGUUCUUGGUUUCAUCCACUCAGUUCUCUGGAUCAGCCAGCUUCACACAGAAGUGACAGCACUUCUGAAAUCCCCUCUUAGUCACUUUUGUAACUUCAACCUCUGCUAAAGGUAGACACUCACUCUAUAGACCAGGCCUUGAGCUCAAAGAUCCACCUGCCUCUGCCCCCUGGCCCCCUCCACCUCCCCACGAGUGCUGGGACUAAAGGUGUGAACCACCACCACCACCACCACCACCACCCAGCUCCCUUGUUUUCUUAACAUUGAUCUAUUUAUAACUAGAGUGAGCAAAGCAGUGGUGGUGCACAACUUUAAUCCCACCACUCAGGAGGCAGAGGCAGGUGGAGCUCUGUGAUUUCGAGGCCAGCCUGGUCUACAAUAUGAGUUCCAGGACAGCCAGGGAUACACAGAGAAACCCUGCCUCAAAAAGAAAAUCAAAUAAACCCCCACAGAGUUACACCUUAUCCACUGCCCAAUGUCCUGCCAUUGGUUCCCAGACCAGAGCCUAGAGCCUGAAAUGGUCAUAUGCUCAGGCCCCAUUGCAAAGGACAGUGGGAAGGCACCUGCUUGUCUAACCUCUGGGGUGGCAAAGCUCGGGAGGGACUCCUCCUUAGGCAGCAGAGAUGCUCACUGGUGUGGGCUGUGCACACUCUGGUUUUCUUUCCUCUAAACUUGUGGGCCCCCAGGUUCAAGCUUUUAAUUUUCAGGUUUGCAUAUCUAUAAGUGCCUCCGUGUAUCUAUGUGGACCACAUGUAUGCCUGGUGCCUGUGGAAAUGAGAAGAAAGCAUUGAAUCCCCUCAAAAAGUGUUCUUAACCCCUUAGCCAUCUCUCCAGCCCCAGGUUCAAAUCCUGAGCACCGUCUGAACUAGUCCUGUGUCCAAGACAGUAUCAUCAAACCCUGCCCUUCCCGCCUUGUGCCAGCUCGCGCUUUUUCUUACAUCUGUAUGUUGAUGCUUAGCAGGUUCCUUGAAUGCUUGGUUUAUGUGCCUGGCUGGAGGAGACACCCAUGGCCUUGCAGAGGGAGCGUUCUGGUGGGAAAGCAGACACAACCCACCCUAGGCCCGUGGUUUCCCUGCAAGAAGCCCAGUGGCUUUCUGGAGGACACUUUUCCUGGAGGAAGUGACUCAAGCACAAGUUCUUGGUGGCCUCAAUUCACGGUCUCUUCCUGUUGAUCAGCAGUGGGCAGAGACCACCUCCCUCAUUGCCGCUUUGGGUUUGGACCGCUUUAAACAGUAAAGUGACUGUCGACGGCUCAGUCUACAGGGAGGAGAACAAAAGACAGGGUCAGGGCUGGGCAGACUGGACAGGAGCAGCAUAAGCCAGGCUCUAUGGAAUGUUGGGUGAGCUGCUUGAGGAACUCCAAGGCCUGUCCCACAGUCUUCCAGCCUCCGACUCUCCGGCCCUCAGCGAGGAAGUCCCACUGGUUUUUUUGGUUGGUUUUUUUUUUUUUUUUUAAGGUUUUUUGGUUUUUUUUUUUUUUUCUCAUUCCUGUCUUGGGAGCUUUCCCCAACCAGGAGAGUGAAGAUGGGCGGAGCUGUCACACCAACUGUUAGCCUGCCUUGGCUGAGAGGAGAGGAGGCGAGGAGGGAGCGACCACCCAGCUUUAGUCGUUUUAAAACAGCUCCUGACCCUAGAAGAAGGGAAAUGGAGAUGAAGACCCAAUUGACUUGCAGACUGAUCGAACACACAGGCUUCUCAGCCCACUCCCUCCAGUCAAGGUUAAGGCCUGGCAAAGGUGGAGGAAGAGAAGCUGAGGAGAAAAAGGCGAGGAGAGCCUAGGCACAGGAAGGUGACCGCUUCCCUCCCUCCCAGUGCUGAUUUCCUGUGGACCAGAUUCCAGCACAGUGGAGGGCCAGAGCUCAGGGAACAGACCCAGCAGCACAGCAAGUCUCCAAGGAAAGCUCUAGCAGUCUCCAGGGGCUGAAGGCAGGACUGGGGAAGCGGCUAGCCAGGCUGCAGAAGGCAAAUGCUCCCAGACGGCUGUCCAGCACGCAUCCGCCUUCCUAGCCAAGUUUCCUGGGCUCCUGCCACAGAUCUAAGCCUCAUCCUGACAUCCUGCCCUCUGUGCUCUGGGAUGGCCCAGGGGAGAUGCUUAGCCUUGGCUCCUUGUCUGCUGGUGGAGGGGACACACACCCUUUCUGGACCACAGACCAAAAAGAAGACCUGACGUCAUCCUGAGCACCCCCGCCAUGCAGAGUGUGUUCGCAGACUGCCAACGGGCUGGCUCCGGCCAGCAGAAGUGAACAGAGGUGGAGGUUCAGCCUGACAGCUUCUCCCCAAAGCCAUGGAGAGAAAACCUUACCACCCCCACCGCCCAGCUACUUCCAGCAAGUUGUCCAGCCUGACCCCUCUAUUUCCCCUGUUGUCUCUUAUCUGGGUCCCUGAGACCCACCCCAUCUCCAAUAAAGAACAUUGCAUACUGUGCAUCCACUACUGAACAACAUAGUCACACCAGGCAGGGCUCCCUAAAGCCUACCUGCAUGGCCAGCGUGGUCCGAGGACAGUGUGCUCUCCCCACCCUGUCUGCUAGCCUCCAGCUUCAUGGGAACUCCAUUAAUCAUGGGAUUCCGAGAUCAUCAGAGCAAUAGGAUCACUCCGUCUCCAGGGGAGCACAAGGCAAGAGCCAGAGCGGGACUGUUCUUCAGUCAAGGGGCAGGGGUUGCUGCCUCU
rnacentral:lncRNA from 1 species